UGAGUACGAGAUGCUACGGCAUCGAAGCAGUCUAUGUCAUACUUCCAAGAAAAGCUUGCACUGUCAGAAACAGAUAAUGCCUGUACCAUAACCGACACAGGUGGGUAGGUAGAGUAUACUAAGGGGCGCGAGAUAACUCUCUCUAAGGAACUCGGCAAAAUGACUCCGUAACUUCGGGAGAAGGAGUGCCUUAUUUUUAAGGUUGCAAUAACAAGAUCCAAGCAACUGUUUACCAAAAACACAGGUCUCCGCUAAGUCGUAAGACGAUGUAUGGGGGCUGACGCCUGCCCAGUGCCAGAAGGUUAAAGAAGUCGGUUAGCAUUCGCGAAGCUGGUAACUGAAGCCCUGGUGAACGGCGGCCGUAACUAUAACGGUCCUAAGGUAGCGAAAUUCCUUGUCGGGUAAGUUCCGACCCGCACGAAAGGCGUAAUGAUUUGGAUACUGUCUCGGAGAGGGGCUCGGUGAAAUAGACUUGUCUGUGAAGAUGCGGACUACCUGCACCUGGACAGAAAGACCCUAUGAAGCUUUACUGUAACUUGAAAUUGAAAUUGGACUUUAUUUGCGCAGUAUAGGUGGGAGGCGUUGAAAAUAUUCUUGCGGGAAUAUUGGAGCCAUCAGUGAGAUACCACUCUUGUAAUGUUAGAUUUCUAACUUUAUAUCAUUAUCUGGUUAAAGAACAGUUUCAGGCGGGCAGUUUGACUGGGGCGGUCGCCUCCCAAAUGGUAACGGAGGCGCACAAAGGUUUCCUCUGAACGGGUAGAAAUCGUAUCUAGAGUGUAAAGGCAUAAGGAAGCUUGACUGUGAGACCUACAAGUCGAGCAGGGACGAAAGUCGGUCUUAGUGAUCUGACGGUGCUGAGUGGAAAGGCCGUCACCCAACGGAUAAAAGUUACUCUAGGAUAACAGGCUGAUCUCCCCCAAGAGUUCACAUCGACGGGGAGGUUUGGCACCUCGAUGUCGGCUCAUCGCAUCCUGGGGCGGUAGUACGUCCCAAGGGUUGGGCUGUUCGCCCAUGAAAGCGGUACGCGAGCUGGGUUCAGAACGUCGUGAGACAGUUCGGUCCAUAUCCGGUGUAGGCGUUAGAAUAUUGAGAGGAGCCUUCUUUAGUACGAGAGGACCGAGAAGGACAUACCUCUGGUGUACCAGUUAUCGUGCCAACGGUAAACGCUGGGUAGCUAUGUAUGGAGUGGAUAACCGCUGAAAGCAUCUAAGUGGGAAGCCCACCUCAAGAUAAG
rnacentral:rRNA from 1 species